GGCGCACGGGUGAGUAACGCGUAGAUAAUCUGCCCUGGUAUCCGGGAUAACAUUUCGAAAGGGGUGCUAAUACCGGAUAAGCCCACCUUUGGGAAAAGGAUGUAUCAGGAUGAGUCUGCGUACCAUUAGCUAGUUGGUAGGGUAAUGGCCUACCAAGGCGACGAUGGUUAGCUGGUCUGAGAGGAUGAUUAGCCACACUGGAACUGAGACACGGUCCAGACUCCUACGGGAGGCAGCAGUGGGGAAUUUUGCGCAAUGGGCGAAAGCCUGACGCAGCAACGCCGCGUGAGUGAUGAAGGCUUUCGGGUCGUAAAGCUCUGUCAAGGGGAAAGAAUGACGGUACCCCUAAAGGAAGCACCGGCUAACUCCGUGCCAGCAGCCGCGGUAAUACGGAGGGUGCGAGCGUUGUUCGGAAUUAUUGGGCGU
rnacentral:rRNA from 1 species